rnacentral:misc_RNA from 1 species
GAUGAAGGACGCAGCGAAAUGCGAUAAGUAGUGUGAAUUGCAGAAUUCAGUGAAUCAUCGAAUCUUUGAACGCACAUUGCGCCCCUUGGUAUCCCGAGGGGCAUGCCUGUUCGAGCGUCAUUUCACCACUCAAGCCUGGCUUGGUGUUGGGCGACGUCCCCUUUGGGGACGCGCCUCGAAACGCUCGGCGGCGUGGCACCGGCUUUAAGCGUAGCAGAAUCUUUCGCUUUGGAAGUCGGGGCCCCGUCUGCCGGAAGACCUACUCGCAAGGUUGACCUCGGAUCAGGCAGGGAUACCCGCUGAACUUAAGCAUAUCAAUAAGCGGAGGA